rnacentral:rRNA from 1 species
UACGUAGGGGGCGAGCGUUGUCCGGAUUUAUUGGGCGUAAAGAGCGUGUAGGCGGCUUGGUAGGUCUGCUGUGAAAACUCGGGGCUCAACCCCGAGACGUCGGUGGAAACCACCUGGCUAGAGUCCGGAAGAGGAGAGUGGAAUUCCCGGUGUAGCGGUGAAAUGCGCAGAUAUCGGGAGGAACACCUAUGGCGAAGGCAGCUCGCUGGGACGUUACUGACGCUGAGACGCGAAAGCGUGGGGAGCAAACAGG